rnacentral:rRNA from 1 species
UACGUAGGGUGCAAGCGUUGUCCGGAAUUAUUGGGCGUAAAGAGCUCGUAGGCGGUUUGUUGCGUCGGCUGUGAAAUCCCGAGGCUCAACCUCGGGUCUGCAGUCGAUACGAGCAAACUAGAGUGUUGCAGGGGGAGACUGGAAUUCCUGGUGUAGCGGUGAAAUGCGUUGAUCUACAGAGGAACACCAAAAAAGGCGAAGGCAGCCAACUAU